rnacentral:rRNA from 1 species
AUUGAACGCUGGCGGCAUGCCUUACACAUGCAAGUCGAACGGCAGCACGGGAGCAAUCCUGGUGGCGAGUGGCGAACGGGUGAGUAAUGUAUCGGAACGUACCUUUCAGUGGGGGAUAACGUAGCGAAAGUUACGCUAAUACCGCAUAUUCUGUGAGCAGGAAAGCAGGGGGAUCGCAAGACCUUGCGCUGAUUGAGCGGCCGAUAUCAGAUUAGCUAGUUGGUGAGGUAAAGGCUCACCAAGGCGACCGAUCUGUAGCGGGUCUGAGAGGAUGAUCCGCCACACUGGAACUGAGACACGGUCCAGACUCCUACGGGAGGCAGCAGUGGGGAAUUUUGGACAAUGGGCGCAAGCCUGAUCCAGCCAUGCCGCGUGAGUGAAGAAGGCCUCGGUGUAAG